rnacentral:lncRNA from 1 species
GAAUCGCACAGUGCGUUUGCAAGUUCAGGAAUUGUAGCCUCAGCUACAACUUCAACUGUUCGUAAGCCCGCUUUGUAUAAACAUCUAGCUCGCGCAGCCUGUGAAAACAUAAAACAAAGGUAAAACAAUCCAAGAGCUUGCACUUCCUAGUGGCGAAACUUCAGUAUUAUGGAACAAAGGUCGACCAUACAUACCUGAACAAGCUUGGACAAUAUAAGAGCCACAAAAAAGCGUCUGUACACACGCAAGUUUUGAUUCGCCUCGCUAGCCUUCUCACUACCUUUUAGACUCCUUUUACGGCCCUGCAUUGGUGCUCCAUGAGCCAUGCGCAUCACGGAUGCCUCGGUCACCCCAACUCUAGCAACUGCCUGUAAAAUGCGAAAGCAUUACAAUGUCUAUUUCUAGCUUUCGUCUAUAAGAACCUGAUCGACAUAGGUCAAUUCGACAAAUCUUUGAUAGUGAACUCCCCAGUCCGGUUCAAGCUCCAUGUGAAUAGGAGUAACCUCGUAAACAAGGUGCAAAUCCGACGCUAAAACAAAACUAUCACGGGCUUUAGCAAGAUCCUCAAAGACAACCUGCAUCCACAUAAUUAAAAUUCGUCAUUGCCAGCAAAAACGAGCGAGAACGUACCAAGAAUUCUUCCGGGCUGAGCGAACUGCCAAACGCUGCUUUUCCUAAUGGACUUAUUUUUGUAGACCUGUAACUCCUGAUCCCACUCUAUGAGUCGCUUGUGGCACAGAAAAGAAUCUUGAGCAGACUUCACGACGUCAUCAAAAGGCUGUGUAGAGUUGAGAAGGGUGCAGAGCGGUUCACAUCCUGUGCCCACCUCCAAAACGAGCUCUCAUCAUUCCAUUCUUUUCCUCGGCGAGACAUGACCGCAACGGUUGACAACCUUCUCUCCGAGUGAGUUCGCUUUGUGAUGGUACGAACUGCAAGUGAAGUAUCUGGAGGUAGCGUUUUACUCCCGUGAGUCCCAAAAUAUCCACGGACACAACAUGUUCCAAGCCUCCUCAAGCCACUCCCAUCGACAGAACCGCAAACGUAAGGCUUCCAUGCGUACAGCACUUGCGAAAGUCCCAGCUGUGAAAGUUGCCCUCUAAAGUUGCCACCUCUUUCCACGUCCAUGGUUGUUUUUCUCUGUCCAGCACCGCGACCACAGCUUUAGAAUCAUGUAUCCCACAGCAUGUCGAAGAGCUAUCCACAGCACUCCACUAAACUCCAUUUGGAUCCGCUAAACUCCGCCACAUCUUCGAUCUGGAGCAGCACAAGUGCGGAGUGGUGCGAGAAGUAACUGAGAUAGUACUGAUGAACACCGUGUUGAGAGACGUCAGGCAAACCGUUUGGUAGCGAGGAAGUGUCCUAAUACCCAGCCUCGAGUCAAACACGUACGGGGAAAGCGAGAUCCGGAAGAAUUGCUUGCCGUCACUGACAUACGUCGCCAGCACCUGUGUGCACUUGUCGAUAAAACUGUCGAUAGACCCAUUGCUGCGUCAGUGGAUUCCCCACCAGGAAAUGCUUCUUGUUGACGAAGAUCUUCCUCCGGUCGCAUAAGACGAGGCCGCGUGAGAAAGGUAUGGCACAGAACAUUCGGGUGCAAACCGAGACUCCCAAGAAUCCGGCAGCUCUUUUAUGACGGGUUCAUUUCUGCAAAACAGCGAAGUUGUUGUUUCAAGGAAAGGAACGAGUAUAAAAAGUAUCACCAAGGCCAGCUGGAAGAUGAUAUCGCAAGUACCGAGUAGGUUCAUCAAGUCGGUGGUGCAGUAACAACACGAUUUUGGUUUGAGAGUGACCAUUUUGUCUCCACAGGAGCCUGAAACUCGGAUCAUCCAGCAUGCGAGCCCAGUGCUUGCAUACCAGCUUGGACCAUGCUACGUCUGCGGCUAGUAGCCAGGAGAGUAAAUGUGUCUGAAGCUCCAGCGGUAAGCUUCAGCAGGAAGAAUUAAAAGGAGAAGCAGAAAUCCAGUUAGCUCUAAAGCUUAAGUUAAAGGAGAGAAAAAUAACCUUUUCCUCUAGGAGUUGGUUGUUGUAGCUCGUUGAAUUGUGAUGCCUCCUCUGCAUGCAUUGGUGAGAGAGCUUUCAAGUUCGUCAGCUCUACCAGCAUCGAGCGAGAGUUGGAUUUCUACACUGCUACUUUCAUCAUCUUCGUCAUAGCUUUCUUUAAUGUUCUCGGUUCCGUGAAGCUGAAGCUGGAUUCAUCGCCCAUCAAGUCAGAAAGAACAAAACUAAUAACACCAAAGCUUACAAGAGGGUACACAGCUCCAAGAUGAUCAAACCCAAACUUGAGAACCAGGGAGAUCUACACACUCGAUGCAAGUCAGGAGACAACACCAAACUACAUAAGAAAACCUUUGCUUUGACAAUGUGCGUCGGUGCGUCUUUGAGGCAGUCAGCAGCGAUUCCUCCAUAAGCUCGAACGAGUCCUCCAGUUCCAAGCUUCGUUCCACCAAAGUACCUGGAUUUCCAAUUAGCCUUUGUUCUUUCGUUUGGAAAAACGAUGAUAGGUACCUCGUGACAACGACCAUAACUCCAUCCACACCAGAAUUUUCUAUGGCAGCAUAGAUUGGCCGUCCUGCCGUUCCUCCAGGCUCUCCAUCAUCGCUAAAACGAUAGCGUUCUUUGAUCUAAGCUGGAAGAAAAUGAAACAUUCAAGCAAGGAAACGAAGAAGGCGAAAUAAAUGAACCACAUUGUAAGCCCAGCACUCGUGAGUUGCCCGUGGAUCCAAGACCUUGCAAACAAAAGAAUGAGCUGAGAUCGCGAUUUUCUUCUUUGCAAAACUAGACCUGGGAGAGAAAUGCCAAUGCGCCUUGUUCAUCGUCCACUGUCCAGAGCGGCCGUGGCGAUGAACUUACUUCCUUUCAUCUCGCACUGCGAAGAAAACCUGCUGUAUAUGCCGAUGCUGCGCCAUCGCUCCAAGAUUUCGCUCCUCUCUGGCGACUGAAAUGCAUAUACAUUGGCGCCAGCGCCGCCGUCCUUCCAUCGAUCGGCGACCUAGCACCAGCUAGAAAAACCCUAGACGAGGAAUCCAAGCCCAAGCGCGAGUGCCUUUCGAAAAUUGCGGUGCUAUAGAAUCUUGACACACUCGUGGCGCAAUCCUCACCGUCAGUUCAUCCACUGUUCCCGCUCUCUCUCUCUCUCUCGGUAAGUCGGCAAUGUCAACAUCAAAGCAGGUUUGAUCUUCCCAAUUCCAUGCAUUCUCUCUCUCUCUCUCUCUAGGAAGUUCUCGCUACAUGUAGCUCCUGGGAUUUUGGAGUGUCUUGAAAUAUACGUACUCAUUUGAUCAUUUUUAUCGGCUAGCUCUCACUGUUCUUCUUCUUUUCUGCCUAUUUCUUUCAAGAGAAGCUGGCCAGAAAGACGAAUUUUCUUGUACAAAUCAUCGGGAAAAGAAGAAAUGGAGACUAGCUCUCAUUGAUUAUCUCAAGAGAAAUACGGAAAUAUAAUAAGCUUAAGUGAAAAACCUUUUACAAAAUUUUAAGCUCAUCUGAUUCUCAAACCUUCUUGCAGCCCCAGGAACAUCUUCAGUGUCAAGUUUGAAUAGCUCAUCCUCCUUCAGGUCAACAUAUUCUGACGCAGGAACUAUGGUGUUGCAGUUGGAGCAGCUGGAUACCUGGACUAUCGUCGAUGGUGCCUCCACUUACAUUGAGAGUCCGGGACCAAUUCUCCAGUGCGUUUCCGACGUGAAAUCCAAUCACCAUGAGUUUGCGAAACAGGGAAUCUACGUGUAUAUGGAGCCCUGGACGCUGCAGGAUUGUGAUGACGGCGCCAAGGCAGUUGGCUUGAACACCAUGGAUAUGCGAGAUCGAUAUCCCUACUGCGGAGGAGUUCCCGAGUAGACUCAAGAGCCUCAUCAACAACACUUUUGCGAAUGUUAGCAACGUCUCCAAGUUAUUGAAGAAUCCUGAUAGCGAGUUUUCCAACAAGAUUUUACAUUAUAGGUCAGUUCUUUGCUUUUUCUUCUUUCGAAUACAUGCUCUUCUUUUGCAGGUCUCAGCGUCCACAAGAAAUGGAGGCAUCUAGAUAAAAGGGUGGAAAGUAAAAGAGGUUUAAUAAAACUCCCUUUACCCAAAACUUUACACACACAUUUCAUCCCUUAAGCUUGUAAAAAAGGAAAUAUUUUAGGUUUUCACUUGUCCUUUCAGCAGAGAAGCCAGCAGCAAUGCCAAACAAAAGCAGCAAGGUGUACAAGGAGCUCCAUCUUCUCCAGAACUACCCACUGUUUUGGUCUUCGUCCUCCCAGCACAGUAGCCUCCAGUUUGGAAGCGUGGAUGAGCUGAAAUCGUACCUGAAACAGCAGCACCCGACCUGUAUGAAGUGCAAUCGUGGUGAGUGCAGCAACUUCGACUACUUUAACAACGACAACAUUGGCCAGCCAAGGUAUCGCUGCAGUCAGUGCAAGGAAAAAUUCACUUAUGGUGGAAAAACAAGACCAACCUACAUGAAGCGGCCCAGAUCAAGCAGCACUGAGGAAGUUGGCAUGGCACAUGAGAACAAGAAGCUCAAGCGCGCUCCAGUUGAAGAUGAGACGAAGAAGGGUUUGCUGGUCCACGAAAGUCAAGCGAAGCAGAGUGGUCAACAGGCCGAUAAAGCUGGGGCGGUGAUCAGGGUGGAGGACAAGGAAGAGUUUGACAUGGAUGACCUGGAGGUGGCUAGAAUCAUGGCACUGGUCGAGGAGAAUGAAGUCCCAAACGAGGAGGAACACAUCCCUCUUGUGUUCCCUGAAGUGGCAGAAAUUGUAGUGAGUGAUGAAGAGAUGACUGAAAUUCUGUCGUCAAAUCUUGAGGAUGUGGAUGAUGAGGAGAUGCUAAAUCUCGUGCUUGAGGAGGUUUUGGAGCGGCCAAAACACGAGGAGGGCUUGGCGGAAAUUCAAAUUGGCAAUGGGGAAACGAGCCAAAUCCUCCAAAAGAAUGUGGACAAUGAGGAUCUUGUGCUUGAGGGGGAUUCUCAGGAGGAGCAGGCAGAGGCAAUGGAGGGGGACAUUUGUUUUGCUCUCGAGCUUGAACAGGAUCUCCAGGCCGAAGAAGAUAAGCGAAAGGAGGAAUCCAUGAUGCUCUGGAAGAUUGAAUUGGAGAAAGCUAAAUGGAGUGAUAUUUUUAAUUUUAAAACUAAUCGGCAGGGUAGUAUUCUUGGUUGAUUGAAUCAACAACAAAAUCAACACAAUCAGGAUAGAAAAAAAAAACAAAUACUCCCAUGUUUGGUGUAAAAUUUAUUAAUAGUAUUAGAUCGAAGUACCACUUUUUUGAAUUAAAGAUGAUGUUCACAACAAGAAUUUUUCACUGGUCCUGAAAUCGAUCAAAACCUUGUUUCCAGAUCUGAUGUGACAGCGGCAAGAUCGGGUCCUUGGCCUUCUUUUCCGCAAUGCUCCAAACGCAUUGGGGCCAUGGUUACCAUUUUCUUGCAUAAUUACUGCUCGGUUUUCCUUGUCAGUGCUAUGAACGUCGGCCUUGCUCUCGUCCUGCUUUGGAGAUCGAGGCCAUCGAGGCCUCUCAACUCUGGCAUAUAAAGACUGCGACAGCGAAUGGGGAAUCGUUGCUCCAAGAGCUUGAAAGGCCGAGAAAGCAGCUAUGCGCGUCUCUUCUGCUCGAUCCAGGACAAUUCUCCCUGCUCCGUUGCAGCAUACAUCCAUACCAGCAUCUAUCACAACAAGCUUGCGAGUAAAAGCAUUCGGUAUAUAAGAGAAACAAACCUACAUGUCCUUUGAAUGAAGAAUCGCACAGUGCGUUUGUAAAUUCAGGAAUUGUAGCCUCAGCUACAGCUUCAACUGUUCGUAAGCCCGCUUUGUAUAAACACCUAGCUCGUGCAGCCUGUGAAAACAUAAAAGAAAGGUAAAACAAUCAAAGAAAGAGCUUGCACAGUGCCCCUCGGCACCUUGAACGUACUGCAGACGUCCAUUAGCGGCACUUCCUAGUGGCGAAACUUCAGUAUUAUGGAACAAAGGUCG